UAUUAUUACAUUCUAAGGAGAUAUAAUCAUUCGAGUGUAUUAUUGAAAGUUCUAUUUUAGAUUUUAUAAUAUUAAGCAGUAAAAAUAAGAUUAUAUGUUAUUAUUUUUUGAUAAAAUAUGUAAGUAAUUUAGUAUUUAUAUCAGAAGGUUAUUUGUUUGCUAUAGAAAACAGUACUGAGAAGGAACAUAUAUAAUUAUAAGCAUGUAAGAAAAUCUUAAUAUUUGUUCCUUUUGUCUCAUGAUUUAACUAGAUUAUUUAAUUAAUUUUAUUUCUCGAAAUUGAUUGAGCUAUUGAAUUUAAAACAGUUGAUGUAACAAAAUCAAAUUAUAAUUUUCAAUAGGUGUUAAAUGCUUACCGCAAUCGAUGAUAGCUAGUUAAUUUAUAAAUAUGUUUAAGCAUAGGGCUAAAAAUUAGGGUUGUAUUUUUAUUUAAAUUAAGAUUAAUUUUUAGCUCCCGGCCACGGGGGGAUAAGCUCUUAUGGUUAAACAAAGAAAUAUAUCAUUAUAAUUUAUUGUGUAGGCUUAGAAUUGGCUAUCAGAUACAAGUUUGUUUUAAAAUAUUAACUAUUUAUUAUAUAAUAAUUUAUUUAAUUUCUUAAUGUAUGAUAAAUUAAAUUAAUACAAUUCUUUAUUUUUUAAUAUAAUGUUAAAAUGAGUAUAAUUAUUAUUAAUAUUUUUCAUAUACUUAAUAUAAAGACUUAUAAAUAUAUAGUGUUAAUUAUUUAAAAUAUAAAAAUGAAAAGGAACUCGGCAAAUACAGACUCCGCCUGUUUAUCAAAAACAUCGCUCUUUGGCAAAUUUUAUAUAAAGAGUUGUGCCUGCCCAAUGAUUACAGCAUUAAAUGGCCGCGGUACCCUGACCGUGCAAAGGUAGCAUAAUCAUUUGCCUUAUAAUUGGAGGCUAGAAUGAAUGGCUUGACGAGAGUUUAACUGUCUUUUUAUUUUUAUUUAUAAAUUAAUUUUUAUGUAAAGAAGCAUAAAUCUUUAAAAGGGACGAGAAGACCCUAUUGAGUUUUAGUUUAAUUAUAAUUAUUUCUUAUAUUAAUAUAAUUAGUACUAUAAUAGACUUUAGUUGGGGCAACUGAGGAGCUAUAAAUAACCUCCUUGAAAAUUAAUCUAAAGUGAUAAUUAUUUGACCCACUUUUAGUGGUCAACAGAUAUAACUACCGUAGGGAUAACAGCGUAAUCUCUUCUAAGAGCUCUAAUUGAAGAAGGGGAUUGCGACCUCGAUGUUGGACUAAGAUACCUAAAGGGUGUAGCAGCUCUUUUAGUAAGUCUGUUCGACUUUUAAAAUCUUACAUGAUCUGAGUUCAGACCGGCGUAAGCCAGGUUGGCUUCUAUCUUUUUGAAUAUAAAUAUUUUCUUGGUUAGUACGAAAGGACCAUCAAAAUUCGAAUAAUUUUAUAGAUUAAAGUGUGAUUGAAUUAAUUUAAUAAUAUUUAUUAAAUUUUUUAUACAUAAAAGACUAUUGU
rnacentral:rRNA from 1 species